rnacentral:rRNA from 1 species
GAUGAACGCUAGCUACAGGCUUAACACAUGCAAGUCGAGGGGUAACGAGAGGAAAGCUUGCUUUCCUUGUCGACGACCGGCGCACGGGUGAGUAACGCGUAUCCAACCUGCCCCCAACUAAGGAAUAACCUUGCGAAAGUAAGACUAAUACCUUAUAAUUUCAUCAGAUGUCAUCUGACGAGGAAUAAAGAUUUAUCGUUUGUGGAUGGGGAUGCGUCUGAUUAGCUUGUUGGCGGGUUAACGGCCCACCAAGGAAACGAUCAGUAGGGGUUCUGAGAGGAAGGUCCCCCACAUUGGAACUGAGACACGGUCCAAACUCCUACGGGAGGCAGCAGUGAGGAAUAUUGGUCAAUGGGCGAAAGCCUGAACCAGCCAAGUAGCGUGCAGGAUGACGGCCCUAUGGGUUGUAAACUGCUUUUAUACAGGAAUAAAGUUAGCCACGUGUGGUUAUUUGUAGGUACUGUAUGAAUAAGGACCGGCUAAUUCCGUGCCAGCCGCCGCCGUAA